UGGGGAAUAUUGCACAAUGGGGGAAACCCUGAUGCAGCAACGCCGCGUGAGUGAUGACGGCCUUCGGGUUGUAAAGCUCUGUCUUCAGGGACGAUAAUGACGGUACCCUGGGAAUAAGCACCGGCUAACUCCGUGCCAGCAGCCGCGGUAAUACGGAGGGUGCAAGCGUUAUCCGGAUUCACUGGGUUUAAAGGGUGCGUAGGUGGGCAGAUAAGUCAGUGGUGAAAUCUUCCGGCUUAACCGGGAAACUGCCGUUGAUACUAUUUGUCUUGAAUAUUGCGGAGGUAAGCGGAAUAUGUCAUGUAGCGGUGAAAUGCUUAGAUAUGACAUAGAACACCAAUUGCGAAGGCAGCUUGCUACACAAUCAUUGACACUGAGGCACGAAAGCGUGGGUAGCGAACA
rnacentral:rRNA from 1 species